rnacentral:rRNA from 1 species
GACGAACGCUGGCGGCGUGCUUAACACAUGCAAGUCGAACGGAAAGGCCCUUCGGGGUACUCGAGUGGCGAACGGGUGAGUAACACGUGGGUGAUCUGCCCUGCACUUUGGGAUAAGCCUGGGAAACUGGGUCUAAUACCGAAUAGGACCACGCGCUUCAUGGUGUGUGGUGGAAAGCUUUGGCGGUGUGGGAUGGGCCCGCGGCCUAUCAGCUUGUUGGUGGGGUAAUGGCCUACCAAGGCGACGACGGGUAGCCGGCCUGAGAGGGUGACCGGCCACACUGGGACUGAGAUACGGCCCAGACUCCUACGGGAGGCAGCAGUGGGGAAUAUUGCACAAUGGGCGCAAGCCUGAUGCAGCGACGCCGCGUGAGGGAUGACGGCCUUCGGGUUGUAAACCUCUUUCACCAGGGACGAAGCGUAAGUGACGUUACCUGGAGAAGAAGCACCGGCCAACUACGUG